AACUAUGACCCAAACUAGCAAACAAACAAAGUCAACCACUGCAGAUGUCCUAGUGAUAUAGGCCAACAAAACCCUUCAACCAGACAACAAACCUCAAGACUACUGGUUUGGGUUUUUCCAGCCAGCACAGUGUUUCAAAGUGUACUCUUUCAUAAGGAGCUUUCGUCUUUAACAGUAUUAACGAUGUGAUUUUAUGCAGUGGGGAAAAGCUCUGAGUAAACUUAUGGUGUAAAACUUACAACAAAGUAUAUUUAACAGACUGCAGAGUCAUUUUCAAAGAAGAUUGUUUGUUGGAAAUUUUUUAAAUCUGAAGGAAAAAAAAAGCAGUGUCUCUGUUGAACUCUUAAGACUCUCUGACAUGACAAUACCUGAAGGUUUCUAAAUUCACAGCUCUUUUCCCUGCGAGCUAUUUGCUCAGCUUUCCUAAUAAUACCCUGCCUGUCUGGCGCCCCGCCAGCUCUGUCUCAGGCAAUAUGCAAGCUAAACAUUUUUUGACUGAUUUCAAUAUUUUCUUAUGAGCAACUAGACAGUAUUUUAUCUAGUGAGUAUUACUGAUUGCUAUAAUCUAAGCCCAGAGUAAGCGUCUGUAAAGGUAUAAGUGGGUGCAGUAGCUCACGCCUGUAAUCCCAGCACUUUGGGAGGCUGAAGUGGGUGGAUCUCUUGAGCCCUGGAGUUAGAGACCAGCCUGGGCAACAUAGCAAAACCCCUGCCUCAACAAAAGAAAAAAAAAUUAACUGGGCAUGGUGGCAUAUGCCUGUAUUCCCA
rnacentral:lncRNA from 1 species